CUGAGAGCUCUCUACUGGGCAGCCAUCUUAGAAGAACCGGCAAAAAGGCACAAACUGCCAAAGGAUAGUGGCCAGUCUGCACCUACGACCUGGCACCAAAAUGUGGGCGCAAGUGAGAAGGGACAAGGUCUGAGGUGCUGGACUCCACAAUAAGUUUCAAAACCAAAACAGGCGGUGUGGACCUCAACCUGGCCCCUUCUGGAGUUUGAACGGGGGAAGGUCAGGAGAAAUCACAAGAAAGGGGCAUGGAAAAGUAAGCAAAAGAAUCAAUCUCAAACGGAAAGCUUCCCGAGGCCCUGGAAAUAAAGACAUUCAGCAACCUCCAGAACAACCCGGAGAGCGAGAAGUCUAA